GCAGGUAUAGUUUAACAAAAAUGCUGGAUUGUGAUUCCAGAGAUAAGGGUUAAACCCCCCUUACCCGCC
rnacentral:tRNA from 1 species